UACGUAGGGUGCAAGCGUUAAUCGGAAUUACUGGGCGUAAAGCGUACGCAGGCGGCUAUGUAAGACAGGUGUGAAAUCCCCGGGCCUAACCUGGGAACUGCAUUUGUGACUGCAUAGCUAGAGUCCGUCAGAGGGGGGUGGAAUUCCACGUGUAGCAGUGAAAUGCGUAGAGAUGUGGAGGAACACCGAUGGCGAAGGCAGCCCCCUGGGAUGAGACUGACGCUCAUGUACGAAAGCGUGGGGAGCGAACAGG
rnacentral:rRNA from 1 species